UGCAAGUAAUGAGAGUGAAAAGUCUGCUUACAUAAUGAUGGUUUGCUUUGAAUCCAUUUGUUUGCUAAUUUUAUUUAUUUAUUUCAGUGCAAUACAGCAAAGGGGUGAAAGAGACCCAGUUCCAAACAAAAGCAGAAUUAAAUCAGGUUAUAAAAUAGCAAUAACUUUCAAGUCAUCCAAUGCUGCUGCUAUGCAAAACUAUGCUUUUAAUUCAGUGUGUUAAUAUGAGCAAGAGGAAAAUUCUCUUUGUAGAUGCUGAGGAACAAAAAGGACCUGCUCCAACUUCAGCAUAGGAAUCAGCAUUCAUGACAGCAAGCUCUUUUAUUUUGAUUUCCUGAGAGGAAUUGAUGAUGGCAGAGCAUCUAAAUACCAACAGAGACAAAAGCAGGCUGCACCACCUGCUAGCUUUGCAGCGCUUAGCUUAGAACAGACCUUAAUUAAGAUAAAAGAAAUAGUUGCAACAUCUUAUGAUUUGUUGUAUAAGGUUUGCUUAAGUAAUUUGAAAUCUUGCUUCUCAGGCAUUUUCUCUAUCUGAUAAAGAAGGCACUGGAGUAAUUAAGCAUUAGAACUUCAGCAAGUACUUGACCACUUCUGCUUUAAAUUAUCGGACAAGCAGUUCAGGCACCUUGACCAGAACCUUAAACUUUGCAAGGAGUUGACAGUAUACUGGAAAGCUUUCCUGAAAAACAUAAACCUCCUCUCAGAGCUCCCCAAAGCCCUUAUUGUCUUAUAAACUGCUCUCAAAAGUUAAGUCUGGAACUCAUGCAGAUGUAAGUCUCUACAUGUGGUAAGCUGAAAUCAUGACCAUCGUUGCUACCCAACUGAAUGACGUAAGAUGUGGGAUAACCAAAUAUGCCUGAUGAAUUCUGACCUGUCCAGAUGGACUGACAGGAGAUGGGCAGAAAAGCAGAAAUUCUUACUGCGCUUGAAAACAACAGGAGAAUAUCAAAAGGUCCUCUUUGUGUCCCAAGUCAGAAGGUCUGUCAGGGCUUGAGUGACUGACAAGAGCAGAAGGAGGGACCACACUUCUUGGAUGAAGGAGGACCCAAAAACAGCUCCAAAAGUUUGUAAUGUGUUAUAGGGUUUUUUACGUGUUAGUGACUUUACCAAUGAGUGUCAUCUAUAUAAUGAGUGUCACCAAUAGGCAUAGAUUUACCACAAUACUUAUUGUAAGUGUAGCUUUAUUCAAAAUUGUAUACAGUUUCUUAAGUGCUUUUAUUCUCUAUAAAUUUAGCAUUAAUAUUAAUAGUAGUGUAACUGUUACUUUGUCUUUAGUGGCAGUAUUAUGUUUAGUUAUAGUUAUUUUAAAAUAGUUGGGGAUUUAAAAAAUAUUUAUAUUUUCAGCUUAUUAAAAUUAAAAUGCAGUCUUAAUAGAUAUAAUAGAUUACAUGGUUCUCAAGUGUAAAACAUUGGAAUAUUUUUUAUAGGUCAGAAAAUGCUGCAUUUCCCCUUUAUUAUGCUGAUAAUAUUUCAGUAAGUUUCAAGUGAAUCAUACCAGCCCAAAGAUGAAUAGUGUGAAAUACAUCUGUAUAAUUAUUUUAAGAAAGUUUUUGAGUGCUGUAAUAUUGACCUACCAGAAAGCUUUCAUAAUGACUUUAGAACAGGUGUCUACUUUUGCUAGGAAAGGUUUAGCUGUGAUGUCUUCUCAUCCUCCAAGGAGGUGCUAAGCUUCCAUAACAGCUUGACAAGCUGCACACUCCUGGGUUGAAGCUCUGUGAGUGUACAUUUAGCAUGAAAUAUCUUGUCAGCAGUACUCCACGAUCCUGAGUACUUUCCACCUCAACAAAAAAUAAGCUACCUCCCCAUCUUUCAGGAGG